ACACAUACAUAUAUACAUAUACAUAGGAGAUAGGGGUACGUAACGCCGCAAUAAUAUAUGUAUAGAAAUUAAAUAUAAAAUAUAAAUUACAAAGUGGGACAAGAACGCAAAAACACACAAGGAGACGACACAAAAAAACAGACGGGUCACUCGA